rnacentral:tRNA from 1 species
GGAGAGAUGGCUGAGUGGACUAAAGCGGCGGAUUGCUAAUCCGUUGUACAAUUUUUUUGUACCGAGGGUUCGA